rnacentral:rRNA from 1 species
GACGUAGGGCGCGAGCGUUGUCCGGAUUUCUUGGGCGUAAAGAGCUCGUAGGCGGUGUGUCGCGUCGGCCGUGAAAACCUGCAGCUUAACUGUGGGCUUGCGGUCGAUACGGGCAUCACUGGAGUUCGGCAGGGGAGACUGGAAUUCCUAGUGUAGCGGUGAAAUGCGCAGAUAUCAGGAGGAACACCGGUGGCGAAGGCGGGUCUCUGGGCCGAUACUGACGCUGAGGUGCGAAAGCGUGGGGAGCGAACAGG